UGGAUGAUGUGGUUUAAUUCGAUGCAACGCGAAAACCUUACCCACCUUUGACAUGUACGGAAUCCUUUAGAGAUAGAGGAGUGCUCGAAAGAGAACCGUAACACAGGUGCUGCAUGGCUGUCGUCAGCUCGUGUCGUGAGAUGUUGGGUUAAGUCCCGCAACGAGCGCAACCCUUGUCAUUAGUUGCUACAUUCAGUUGGGCACUCUAAUGAGACUGCCGGUGACAAACCGGAGGAAGGUGGGGAUGACGUCAAGUCCUCAUGGCCCUUAUAGGUGGGGCUACACACGUCAUACAAUGGAUGGUACAAAGGGUCGCCAACCCGCGAGAGGGAGCCAAUCCCAUAAAGCCAUUCGUAGUCCGGAUCGCAGUCUGCAACUCGACUGCGUGAAGUCGGAAUCGCUAGUAAUCGUGGAUCAGAAUGUCACGGUGAAUACGUUCCCGGGUCUU
rnacentral:rRNA from 1 species